rnacentral:rRNA from 1 species
GAUGAACGCUAGCGGCAGGCUUAAUACAUGCAAGUCGAGGGACAGCACAGGUAGCAAUACUGGGUGGUAACCGGCAAACGGGUGCGGAACACGUACACAACCUUCCUUUAAGUGGGGGAUAGCCCAGAGAAAUUUGGAUUAAUACCCCGUAAUAUAGUUGAAUGGCAUCAUUUGAUUAUUAUAGCUACGGCGCUUAAUGAUGGGUGUGCGGCUGAUUAGAUAGUUGGCGGGGUAACGGCCCACCAAGUCUACGAUCAGUAGCUGAUGUGAGAGGAAGACAAGCCAAAAGGGCACUGAGACAGGGGCCCGUCUCCUACGGGAGGCAGCAGUAAGGAAUAUUGGUCAAUGGACGCAAGUCUGAACCAGCCAUGCCGCGUGAAGGAUUAAGGUCCUCUGGAUUGUAAACUUCUUUUAUUUGGGACGAAAAAGGGCCUUUCUAGGUCAACUGACGGUACCAGAUGAAUAAGCACCGGCUAACUCCGUGCCAGCCGCCGCAGUAAUAC